GGGUCUGAUGUCAGACAAAUGCGUAUGAAUUCUGGCUGCGGAACUACUAACUUGGGACUUUGAGCAAGUCUCACCCACAAAUAGAGAGGUUGUGAGAAAUAAAACAAAAACUGUCUGGCACACAGAAAGAUUCAAUAAGCGUUAUGUAUGAUUAUUUUUUACGUAAAGGUACACAUAUAUGAAGUGCCUGAUCUCCCAGCAGCUGGACUUGAAAUAUGCUCUCAGGCAGUAUGGUCUGAGGCCAGCAUUUACCACCACCAGUAAGUACACUUCACUGAUUCUAACUCAAGUGUGGUCCUUGGACUAGCAGCAGCACCUGCGAGCUUGUUAAAAUGCAGAACUUCAGGCUCUACUCCAGUUCCAGUGAAUCAGGACCUGCAUGUGAACAGGUAGGAGCUUAAGAUUGCCAAUCUACAGAAGCUACAUCAGAAUUUCACCUUGGCCCAGCUCACCUGUAACUCAUACCAGCCCCAGGAACAGACAGAGUUUUGCUCUUGUUGCCCAGGCUGGAGUGAAAUGGCACGCUCUCAGCUCACCACAACCUCCGCCUCCCAGGUUCAAGCAAUUCUCCUGCCUCAGCCUCCUGAGUAGUUGGGAUUACAGGCAAGUACCACCAUGCCCAGCUAAUUUUUGUAUUUUUAGUAGAGACGGGGUUUCUCCAUGCUGGUCAGGCUGGUCUCAAACUCCCGACCUUAGGUGAUCCACCUUCCUCAGCCUCCCAAAGUGCUGGGAUUACAGGCAUGAGCCACCGUGCCCGGCCAGGUCUUCCAUACUUCUACUGACAGUGACUGUUCCAAGGAGUGAGCCACUGGAAUCACUGCUGAAAUUUUACAGAUCAACCCAGGGAAACAUGGGAUGGUAUGGUUUGAAUAUUUGUCCCCUCCAAAACUCAUGAUGAAAUGUAAUCCCCUGAUAUGAUUUGGAUUUGUGUCCCCGCCCAAAUCUCAUGUCAAAUUGGAGGAGGGACCUGGUGGGAGGUGACUGGAUCAUGGGGGUGGAUUUCCCUCUUGCUGUUCCCAUGACAGUGAGUGAGUUCUCACAAGAUCUGAUGAUUUAAAUGUGUGUGGCACUUCCUGCUUGGCUCUCUCUCUUCUACCACGUGAAGAACCUUCCUUCCCCUUUGCCUUCCAACUGCAUGAUUUCAAGUAUCCUGAGGCCUCCCAGUCAUCCUUCCUAUUAAGCCUGUGGAAUUGUGAGGCAAUUAAAUCUCUUUUCUUCAUAAA